rnacentral:lncRNA from 1 species
UCAAGGAGUUCAUUGUCCUUUCUGGAGGCAGGGCUGACACAGCGACCUCCUCAUGUGGAAUCACCCGGAACCAUUUCUGUUCCAGCUCUUCUGUUUUUUGGCAAGUGCAUUUUUUCAGGUCUCACAGGCAGGAGGCUGCAGGGUUACUAUUCACAGGCAGGCUUCAUCUAUCUAAGAACCUGCUGGGCAUCUUCUCCCCCAAGGGACGUCUCCCAGGAUGUCCUUGCAGUGCAGAGAGGCUCUGGGUUCCUGGACCCAAGAUAUAAUGGCUCUACAAGUGUUGGUGAGCUGAACCCAUGAGGCCUGUGACUGCAGCAGAAGGUCCAUACGUCUAGUUUGAUUUAACAGCUCCCACGUGAUCCUCUGCUACAGCUGGAAGACAGUGUCACCACGCCUUCCCCAUGUGAUGGGUGUAGCCCUGAAAUGUGAGCCCAGCUAAAAAUUGAGGAUGAAAGUCUAGGUGACUUUCUGGUGGCUGUGCAGAUGAGAAGUCGGACAGUGGCACUGCAGUUUGCUCUGAUUGACUCUGGAGCCUGUGUUUGAAGCUACAGCAAUACAACAGUCUGCUCCAGCGCUGAGCUUGUAGGAAGGCGACCACUCCAGGCCGACUCAAUGGCUUUAGCCUCCAGAGUUAUCGUCGUUUGGCAGGAAGUCUUAAAGAACCCCACAGCGUGCCCUUCCGCCCCUGGCACAUCAUAAGCUAUUUUGGGAUGAGUCAUCGGAAUUCUGUGGUUUGCAUAUCCUGAAGGGGAAGAGAAGACACUGUAUGGCUAACAUUUAUUUGAAAUAGCAAGUUGGAAAGAAAAAUUCUUCGAUAAAAGUUCAGCAUUAGAUGUGAAAAAGCUGCUUCACACUCUUGCUGCCACAGCUGAGAGACACUCCUUUUGCCAUGUCCUUCAUGCUCUGAUGGACUGUUCCUUUAAACCAUGAGUCAAAAGAAACCCUUCAACACUUAAGUUUCUUCCUGUCAGGUGAUGAUAUUCUGCCUUGUAUUGGAGCAAGGAAGCAGCAGGCAUUGACCUUCCACUAUGUUCUUAUACAGAGAAGGCUUCUGGGUCUCACCAGAAGGAAAGCUCAAGGAAAAGCCAUGUGGGAGAAGCCAAUGUUUCCUAGAGCCUCAGAAUUUUGGAAUAAAAAAGGUUUGAUUUACUGCUGGAA